ACAUAAAGCUGCUCUGUUCUUUGUUUGCUGGUUUUGACUGAAAACUCCUCCUGUGCUGUGUAAAUAAGAGCUGGUUGGGAAGUGAAGAAGGGAGCCCCUCCAAAGAGCAUCUCCGGGUGCAGCUGUGCCCGCAGGAGUCGCUGCGAGGACGCGGGGUGCCCGGCUGGCAGUGACGAGUCCAUCCACACUCUGCUCCCAACACGCUCCUGCUCCAAGGGUAACGGGCUUUCCCCAGCUGGAUUUAUCGGAGACACUGGACCCUUCUUCCUGAGCAAAUUAGGCUUUGGAGAUGCAGGACAGCAGGGGACAUGUCUCUGGAAAUGCUGCUGGAGGGACCUGGAGCGAGGAGGGAGAGCAGGUCCCUGUGGCUGGAGAUGGGGGAACGAGGAGGGAAGCGCCCAGUCGGGACCAACGCGCCUCUGCAUCUUGCUGCCGAACUCGGCCGGAGACUCGAUGUUCGAGAAGCGGAGCGACCUUUGCUGCGCCCCAGCUGCUGCUGGCGAGCUCAGCUUGCAGUACCCAGUGAGGUUUGUUUGCUGCUCGGAUACUGUGGCAAUGGCUUGGAGCUGUAAAAGACCCUCCCCUGCAUUGAAGCUAUUUCAAAAGCAUCCUAUGGUUAUGGUCUCAUGCAGAAGAGAAACCCCGGUGAGGUUCACAAGCAUUUGUGUCAGCUGGGUGGCUGGUUUCGUAUGGAGUAAGGCUGC
rnacentral:lncRNA from 1 species